rnacentral:rRNA from 1 species
AGAGUUUGAUCAUGGCUCAGAACGAACGCUGGCGGCAGGCUUAACACAUGCAAGUCGAACGAUAUAGUGGCAGACGGGUGAGUAACGCGUGGAAACGUGCCUUUCACUAUGGAAUAGCUUUUGGAAACGAAAGGUAAUACCAUAUACGCCCUCCGGGGGAAAGAUUUAUCGGUGAAAGAUCGGUCCGCGUUAGAUUAGGUAGUUGGUGGGGUAAUGGCCUACCAAGCCUACGAUCUAUAGCUGGUCUGAGAGGAUGAUCAGCCACACUGGGACUGAGACACGGCCCAGACUCCUACGGGAGGCAGCAGUGGGGAAUAUUGCACAAUGGGCGCAAGCCUGAUGCAGCCAUGCCGCGUGAAUGAUGAAGGCCUUAGGGUUGUAAAAUUCUUUCGCCAGGGAUGAUAAUGACAGUACCUGGUAAAGAAGCCCCGGCUAACUUCGUGCCAGCAGCCGCGGUAAUACGAAGAGGGCUAGCGUUGUUCGGAAUUACUGGGCGUAAAGCGCACGUAGGCGGACUUUUAAGUCAGAUGUGAAAUCCCGGGGCUCAACUCCGGAACUGCAUUUGAAACUGGAAGUCUAGAGAUCAGGAGAGGUUAGCGGAAUACCGAGUGUAGAGGU